rnacentral:rRNA from 1 species
AUUGCACGCUGGCGGCAGGCCUAACACAUGCAAGUCGAACGAGUGGCGGACGGGUGAGUAAUGUCUGGGAAACUGCCCGCUGGAGGGGGAUAACUACUGGAAACGGUCGCUAAUACCGCCUAUCAUCGGAUUUGCCCAUCUGGGAUUAUCUUGUUGGUGGGUUAACGGGUCACCUGGGCGACGAUCCCUAGCUGGUCUGAGAGGAUGACCAGCCACACUGGAACUGAGACACGGUCCAGACGCCUACGGGAGGCAGCAGUGGGGAAUAUGGCACAAUGGGCGAAAGCCUGAUGCAGCCAUGCCGCGUGUAUGAAGAAGGCCUUCGGGUUGUAAAGUACUUUCAGCGAGGAGGCGUUACUCGCAGAAGAAGCACCGGCUAACUCCGUGCCAGCAGCCGCGGUAAUUC